GACGAACGCUGGCGGCGUGCUUAACACAUGCAAGUCGAACGGAAAGGCCCUGCUUUUGUGGGGUGCUCGAGUGGCGAACGGGUGAGUAACACGUGAGUAACCUGCCCUUGACUUUGGGAUAACUUCAGGAAACUGGGGCUAAUACCGGAUAGGAGCUCCUGCUGCAUGGUGGGGGUUGGAACGUUUCGGCUGGUGGGGAUGGACUCGCGGCUUAUCAGCUUGUUGGUUGGGUAGUGGCUUACCAAGGCUUUGACGGGUAGCCGGCCUGUGAGGGUGACCGGCCACAUUGGGACUGCGAUACGGCCCAGACUCCUACGGGAGGCAGCAGUGGGGAAUAUUGCCCAAUGGGAGGAAGCCUGAUGCAGCAACGCCGCGUGCGGGAUGACGGCCUUCGGGUUGUAAACCGCUUUCGCCUGUGACGAAGCGUGAGUGACGGUAAUGGGUAAAGAAGCACCGGCUAACUACGUG
rnacentral:rRNA from 1 species